CCAGCACUUUCACAAGUCCCCCCUCAGGCCGUGGGGCCAGGAUUUGGUAGCUGUUGCUGAGGGAAAUCCCUUGGUUUCAUCCCUGCCCUGGGACUGUGCCAGUGGCAGCUGUCACUCAUUGAGAUAGAC